AUUGAACGCUGGCGGCAUGCUUUACACAUGCAAGUCGAACGGUAACAGGCCGCAAGGUGCUGACGAGUGGCGAACGGGUGAGUAAUGCAUCGGAACGUGCCCAGUCGUGGGGGAUAACUACUCGAAAGAGUAGCUAAUACCGCAUACGAUCUAUGGAUGAAAGCGGGGGACCGUAAGGCCUCGCGCGAUUGGAGCGGCCGAUGUCAGAUUAGGUAGUUGGUGGGGUAAAGGCUCACCAAGCCAACGAUCUGUAGCUGGUCUGAGAGGACGACCAGCCACACUGGGACUGAGACACGGCCCAGACUCCUACGGGAGGCAGCAGUGGGGAAUUUUGGACAAUGGGCGCAAGCCUGAUCCAGCAAUGCCGCGUGCAGGAAGAAGGCCUUCGGGUUGCAAACUGCUCUUGUACGGAACGAAACGGCUCUGGUUAAUACCCGGGGCUAAUGACGGUACCGUAAGAAUAAGCACCGGCUAACUACGUG
rnacentral:rRNA from 1 species